UAGGUGGCGAAUUUUUGCACAAUGUGACGGAAGCCUGAUGCAGCAACGCCGCGUGAAUGAUGAAGGCCUUCGGGUUGUAAAGUUCUGUUGUUAGGGAGGAAGGUGUGCCACUUGAAAUGGCUGCCCCUUGACGGUACCUUGCCAAAAAGCCACGGCUUACUACGUGCCAGCAACCGCGGUAAUUA
rnacentral:rRNA from 1 species